rnacentral:lncRNA from 1 species
CACUGCCCGAGCAACCCUCCACUCGAGUGCCCUGCGCACCUGCCGCUUAUGUGCAAAUGUCCCCCGCUACGACUCUGCGGUAACGGCGCCUUGUGCGCCACCCUCCCCCGGGGUCACGUAGCUGCGGGUCUGGUGGACACGCGUCCACCCACCCAACUGCAGGAGCGUGGAGGAUCCAUUUGAGCCAUCAUUCUUUUAGUUGAAGAGAAAUAUAAGUACAAAACCAGAAGACAAAAAUAAUCUCCACCCUGGAAGGGUUCUGCACUUGCAAGCAUAGCGCUGAAAUGUCCAUACCUCAAGUUCCGAAGGUCAGGUUGGGAGAAAACAGCGGGCGACAGUGUGCUGUUCCAGAUGACCCAGGCAGUCUUCCAGCUACGCCUUGGAGUCCACAGGAAAGGAAAAAGAAGAAAGGCCAACACACCUCCUGUCACAGCAUUAACAACUGUGGCGUCUCCUUACAGACACUGCCAUGCUUUGGAUGUGAAGUGACUCCUGUGUUGUGAAGGCUAGGCCCCCAGCUGAUGGUGCUCUUGAAAGAUGAAUGAGCCAGGAGGACUGCUGAAGGCCAAUGGAGAUCAAGAUUCCUGAACCGAGGAGAGAUGCGGAUCACGAGGACUGUUGAUUCACAGCAGAAUGAGCUUUUCAGUGGGGUCUGGCAGGAGGAAGCAGCCCUCAUUUCCACCAAGAAGAAGACUACAGCUCCCUCAACCCACUCUCCUCCACAAGAUCCCUGUUAGAAAUGGACUUGCAAAGGUGUUUGUGCCCUGAGGAUGCUUCAUCAGCUUAGUCUCCUGUCACUGUCCUGCUUGAACACUUAAUAUGGAAGAUUCUGGAAUGUCAUCCCCAGAAACAAUUGUGAUAAUUUUGCUAAUGAUAUCCGUCUUCAGGAUGUACCUGAUGCCUUUCUCUCCUCUUACAUGGUGUCCUGGGCUAUUUCAAAAGCAGGAUGUGUAGUGCUGCUGGAAGGUGGUAGGGAGUUCCCCAACAUCUUCUCUGUUGGGAGCUGCCCCCACAUUCG